rnacentral:rRNA from 1 species
CAGUCGCCGCGGGAAUACAGAGGGUGCGAGCGUUAAUCGGAUUUACUGGGCGUAAAGCGUGCGUAGGCGGCUUCUUAAGUCGGAUGUGAAAUCCCUGAGCUUAACUUAGGAAUUGCAUUCGAUACUGGGAAGCUAGAGUAUGGGAGAGGAUGGUAGAAUUCCAGGUGUAGCGGUGAAAUGCGUAGAGAUCUGGAGGAAUACCGAUGGCGAAGGCAGCCAUAUGGCCUAAUACUGACGCUGAGGUACGAAAGCAUGGGGAGCAAACAGGAUUAGAUACCCCCGUAGUCCCUGUCUCUUAUAC